UCUCCGUUGGUGAACCAGCGGAGGGAUCAUUACAGAGUCGCAACACUCCGUAAACCAUUGUGAACGUUACCUUAACCGUUGCUUCGGCGGGCGGCGCCCGGGCCUCACCGCCCGCGGCGCCCCCCGGCCCCCCCGUGGGCGCCCGCCGGAGGUACACCAAACUCUUGCAUUGUAUGGCCUCUCUGAGUAUUCUGUACUGAAUAAGUCAAAACUUUCAACAACGGAUCUCUUGGUUCUG
rnacentral:misc_RNA from 1 species